rnacentral:rRNA from 1 species
CGGGUAAUGCCGGGCACUCUGGAAGGACUGCCAUCGACAGAGUGAGGAAGUGGGGAUGACGUCAAGUCAUCAUGGCCCUUAUGUCCAGGCGACACACGUGCUACAAUGGCCGGCACAACGGGAAGCGAGUUCGCGAGGACAAGCGGAUCCCUUAAAGCCGGUCGCAGUUCGGAUUGAAGUCUGCAACUCGACUUCAUGAAGCUGGAAUCGCUAGUAAUCGUGGAUCAGCCAAGCCGCGGUGAAUACGUUCCCGGGCCUU